rnacentral:rRNA from 1 species
GUCACUUCGGUGGCGAGUACAGUGGCGCACGGGUGAGUAACGCGUAGAUGAUCUACCCUUCAGUCUGGGACAACUCUUGGAAACGGGAGCUAAUACCGGGUAAAACCUUCGGGUUGAAAGAUUUAUCGCUGGGGGAUGAGUCUGCGUACCAUUAGCUUGUUGGUGGGGUAACGGCCUACCAAGGCGACGAUGGUUAGCGGGUCUGAGAGGACGAUCCGCCACACUGGAACUGAGACACGGUCCAGACUCCUACGGGAGGCAGCAGUAGGGAAUAUUGCGCAAUGGGGGCAACCCUGACGCAGCAAUGCCGCGUGAGUGAAGAAGGCCUUCGGGUCGUAAAGCUCUUUUAUGGGGGAAGAUGAUGACGGUACCCCAUGAAUAAGCACCGGCUAACUACGUGCCAGCAGCCGCGGUAAUACGUAGGGUGCGAGCGUUGUUCGGAAUUACUGGGCGUAAAGGGCGUGCAGGCGGAUUGGCAAGCCGGAGGUGAAAGCCCGGGGCUCAACCCCGGAGGGUCUUUCGGAACUGCCAGUCUUGAGAGGGUCAGGGGCCAGCGGAAUUCCUGGUGUAGAGGUGAAAUUCGUAGAGAUCAGGAGGAACACCGGCGGCGAAAGCGGCUGGCUGGGGCCACUCUGACGCUGAGGCGCGAA